GUCUUUAAGAUUAUAAUUUAAAGUCUAAUCUGCCCACUGAAAUUUUUAAAUGGCCGCAGUAUUUUGACUGUGCAAAGGUAGCAUAAUAAUUAGUUUUUUAAUUAAAAGCUGGAAUGAAGGAUUGAACGAGAAAAUAGCUGUCUCUAUAAAAUUAUUUAAAAUUUUAUUUUUAAGUUAAAAAGCUUAAAUUAAAUUGAAAGACGAGAAGACCCUAUAGAGUUUUAUAAAAAAUUUUUAAUUAAUUAUUUAGAUUAUUAUUUUAAAUUAAUUAUUUUUUAUUUUAUUGGGGUGAUAGAAAAAUUUAAUUAACUUUUAUUUUUAAAAUCAUUAAUUUAUGAAUAUUUGAUCCAUUAGUUUUGAUUAAAAGAUUAAAUUACCUUAGGGAUAACAGCGUAAUUUUUUUUAAGAGUUCUUAUCGAAAUUAAAGAUUGCGACCUCGAUGUUGGAUUAAGAUUUAAAUUUAAUGUAGAAGUUAAUAUUUUAGGUCUGUUCGACCUUUAAAAUCUUACAUGAUC
rnacentral:rRNA from 1 species